GAAAUGCGAUAAGUAGUGUGAAUUGCAGAAUUCAGUGAAUCAUCGAAUCUUUGAACGCACAUUGCGCCCUUUGGUAUUCCAAAGGGCAUGCCUGUUCGAGCGUCAUUUGUACCCUCAAGCUUUGCUUGGUGUUGGGCGUCUUGUCUCCAGUUCGCUGGAGACUCGCCUUAAAGUAAUUGGCAGCCGGCCUACUGGUUUCGGAGCGCAGCACAAGUCGCGCUCUCUUCCAGCCAAGGUCAGCAUCCACAAAGCCUUUUUUCAACUUUUGACCUCGGAUCAGGUAGGGAUACCCGCUCAACUUAAGC
rnacentral:misc_RNA from 1 species